AAUGAACGCUGGCUGCAGGCCUAAUACAUGCAAGUCGAGCGGAGCUGCGGACGGGUGAGUAAUGCCUAGUAAUCUGCCUGGUAGUGGGGUAUAACUACCGGAAACAGGCGCUUAUACCGCAUAAUAUCACAUGCGCCUAGGUCGUAUUAGCUAGGUGGUGGGGUAAUGGCCUACCAAGGCGACGAUCCGUCACUGGUCUGAGAGGUUGAUCAGUCACACUGGAACUGAGACACGGUCCAGACUCCUACGGGAGGCAGCAGUAGGGAAUAUUGGACAAUGGGCGAAAGCCUGAGCCAGCCAUGCCGCGUGUGUGAAGAAGGUCUUCGGAUUGUAAAGCACUUUAGGUAGGGAGGCGUUACCAUCAGAAUAAGCACCGGCUAACUACGUGCCAGCAGCCACGGUAAUAC
rnacentral:rRNA from 1 species